GACGAACGCUGGCGGCGUGCUUAACACAUGCAAGUCGAACGGAAAGGCCCUGCUUUUGUGGGGUGCUCGAGUGGCGAACGGGUGAGUAACACGUGAGUAACCUGCCCUUGACUUUGGGAUAACUUCAGGAAACUGGGGCUAAUACCGGAUAGGAGCUCCUGCUGCAUGGUGGGGGUUGGAAAGUUUCGGCGGUUGGGGAUGGACUCGCGGCUUAUCAGCCUGUUGGUGGGGUAGUGGCUUACCAAGGCUUUGACGGGUAGCCGGCCUGAGAGGGUGACCGGCCACAUUGGGACUGAGAUACGUCCCAGACUCCUACGGGAGGCAGCAGUGGGGAAUAUUGCACAAUGGGCGGAAGCCUGAUGCAGCAACGCCGCGUGCGGGAUGACGGCCUUCGGGUUGUAAACCGCUUUCGCCUGUGACGAAGCGUGAGUGACGGUAAUGGGUAAAGAAGCACCGGCUAACUACGUG
rnacentral:rRNA from 1 species